UUUCAGGUGCAUGACACAGUGAUUUGGAAAUUCUGUCCUUUGCUCAGUGCUCACCUCACAUAAUGUAGGUUUUUUCAUCUCUAUUCUGUAAUGUAAAAAGAGGUAAGUGAGAAGGAAUAGUAACCUUGUGCUUCUAGGUGUUGUCAUCUCUGCAUCAUGUUUGGAUCUAUGGCAGCCUCUUUGGGACUAUGAGGGGAGUCAUCCCAAGUCAAUAUCAUAAGGAUGGUGGAGUAGAAAGAA